CCGGCUUUAAUAGUGGCGAUUAGACUACGGACGUUUAUCGCAAAAGUUCAAUAUCUUUUCGGGUUGGCCGUAGAGCAUUCGAAGAAUAUCGAUGACGGCAGAGACAUUUGAUGGAUGGAUAAGCAAAUGCUGUACACUAUAAAGUGCUUCACCUUUUAAAGACUUUUGGAGACGAAUUAAGUUCUCGGCCUCCGAAAAGCAGCAAGUUGAGGUGGACCAUUCGAAAGUGGAAAUAAAUAAUGGCCAGUCUUCGGCGUGCCCGGAAAAUAUUGGCAGUUCCUUGGGAACAGAUUGUCUAGCAUUGAUGCUGCUUUGUUGCAGUAGAUUGCUAUUAUGAAAUUGGGAUGUGCUAUUGAAACUGUUCGUUUGGGGGCGCAUUGUAGAUGAAAUGGGUGCUUGAUAAAUAAAAGAUUGUGUAUUUUCGGGAUAA